AUACAUCGGAACGUGUCCUGGAGUGGGGGAUAGCCCGGCGAAAGCCGGAUUAAUACCGCAUACGCUCUGUGGAGGAAGGCGGGGGACCGAAAGGCCUCGCGCUCAAGGAGCGGCCGAUGGCGGAUUAGCUAGUUGGUGGGGUAAAGGCCCACCAAGGCGACGAUCCGUAGCUGGUCUGAGAGGACGACCAGCCACACUGGGACUGAGACACGGCCCAGACUCCUACGGGAGGCAGCAGUGGGGAAUUUUGGACAAUGGGCGCAAGCCUGAUCCAGCAAUGCCGCGUGUGUGAAGAAGGCCUUCGGGUUGUAAAGCACUUUUGUCCGGAAAGAAAACUUCGUCCCUAACAUGGAUGGAGGAUGACGGUACCGGAAGAAUAAGCACCGGCUAACUACGUGCCAGCAGCCGCGGUAAUACGUAAGGUGCGAGCGUU
rnacentral:rRNA from 1 species